AACAAGCAUGUCUAGUGUAAGUCGCUCUGGAUAAGAGCGUCUGCUAAAUGACUUAAA
rfam:Salmo salar isolate Sally breed double haploid chromosome ssa17, whole genome shotgun sequence.